ensembl:lncRNA
ACCACCACCACCACCACCACCACCACCGUAACCAUCAUCACCAGUGUAGGAGACCUGCACCAAUCAGCUGUGUACAACUCCUGAAUCAGGACUGAAACUUUAACACAGAAUGUGAAUCCACAUCUGAAUGGCAGACUGUCAUCAUAUGACAUUAAACUCACAGAGAUAAUCCGAGAUGUUUACACAGAUAAACCACACAAACUGUGUCUCACACACACCGUGUCACACACACUGUGUCGACAAGUCAAACUCUCACACAACAGAAUCAACUACUUGAAUCAAAAACAAAUGAAUAAUUCAAAACCAAAAGACAGACGAAAAGAUAAAACCAAAAAACAGACCACUUUCUUUAAUCACAAAAAUGAAAAGCCCCACACUAAUGAAAAUCAUAACCAAAUACAGAUUACUGACCACUGAAAAAGAUUGUUUAUUGAUCAUAUUGACAAAAUCCAAAAACAGUGGAUGGUUCAAACGAGGACUAACCACAGACCGGACCUGGUUUUGUCCCCAGAAAGUGAUCAUGAUCAGCACCAGUGGAUGUUUGUGAAAGAUCCCAUGACACACCUCAACUUCACCCUCUGUACCUUAUCCAAUGUAUCAGGCAGGGGAGAUGUUAAGGGGGAGAGACAGCAAAAGGUGGCAGGUGGUUCACUGCCAAUUGGAUGGCCUCGUUUAUUGUUGCUGGUUGGUGAUGUGUAACCCAGUCGGAUGUCCCUUCUGGAAGCUGUUUCAUGAACUGCUCUAUUACCACAAGCUCUACAAUCCUUUGAGGGUCACAAUGCUUAGCGAGCACUUUUGACAACUGUCUUGGAGCUGCUGAGCAAAUGCAAAAAGAUUGUCGAACUCACUGAGGGUCAAGGAGUGAAAAAUCUGGCGAUGUUGCUCCGACCCCUGCAAGACGGCUUUUUUUUGGCGAUUUGAUUCCAGUUGCUGCAUUAAGCUCUGCAGCAUCUGUUGGAGAUUUGCCAGUGCUUGUAUCAGGGCCUCCUGACUCUCCAUCUCAGUGAGGUGUGAAUGCUCCAUUGUUGUGUCUUGUUCCUCAAUCUCAGACUUUCUUACCACUGUAGCACUCUGUGGGUAAAGAGAUAGAGAGAAAGGUGCAGAGUUUUUAAAUUAAACUUUCUGAGCUUUUAACCCAGUUUGUGCAAACAUAAAAACAUAAAUGCCAACUUAAAUUAGUAUUUCAGUAGUAACUACAACGUCACUAAACUGGUGGUCCAUUUACCUAUUGUUUUG